UGCCGUUGUAAAAAUCAAGGGGGUUUUUAUAACCAGGGUUAAACAUACAAAUAUCAUUCAUGUGUUUCUUUUUAUAAGCACAUGGCUAACCAUUUUGAACAGUCCUCAGUCAAGCCUCCCUCCUUUUCUAAAGUAAUUUUUCAGGGUUUAUAAUGCCCAGCAGCUGAUUUUAAAUAGCUGUGUUGUCAACAGGAUUCCUACUAGCCCAAUGCCGCAUUUCUUGUUGGAAAACAAAAAUCUGUCUCAAACAUUACUUAGUUUAAAAGUAGGUUGAUUAAAAAAAAAAAACCCAUCUUGGAUAGUUAAGACAUUAGAAGAGUACUCAUUCAUUUCGGUUUGGUUUCUCAGUUACAUUAGGCACGGCAAACACAUUAAGUGGGGAGGACGCUGGGUUUCCAGAUAAAUAUUCCAUGGCUGUGUGGUUCAUAGGCAUCUUUGUAAUCUCUCAAUUAAAUGGAGUCAUUACAAAAAAGUCUGAGACUAUUAACUUAACCGCUGAUUCCAAACAGAUACAAAACAAUUCAUCUGAAUUCACCCAAAAAUUAAGAUUUUGCUGUUACAGACUUCUUUGCGUUGACCCCUUCACGCUAAUGCCAGAUAUUUUCGAACGCACUUGCAACAAACAAACGGUGCAUACAUUGGUUUUCACAGAACGACUGCUAACCCCUUCCUAAAUCUCUCACAGCCAUUUAAAGGACCAUUCUUGAUGUCCCUAAAUUCAGGAGGGCUGUGACUACAACACGCGCAAUUCACGGAAAAGUCACCAAGUCCAGUGCAGUUUCUGUGUCAUGAAAGACCUAAACAUCAUCAACAAAAGCAGAUCUCAGAAAAUUUAAAUAGUGCCUGCACCCACUAAGUAACUUCUGAAUGCACAAAUAGAACAGAAACUACAGGCAAAUAAUGAAAAGCAGUCUCCUCUUUCCUUGGCUUGGCAAUAACUUCUAUUUAUGCUAAUGGGAAUAAAGCACCUGCUCUGUAAAGAAAACAGACCCCUAUCUGUGAAAAUAAACAUGUAUAGUGUAUUUUCCAGAUACAUUGCUGAAAUCCAACAAGCAGGAAUGUGUGCUACAUAAACACAGAAUCAUGUGUCCCGCCCGAAAACUCGGAUGCUCUGCAUUUCCCACUUCCGUCAGAGGUCCUAAGAUACUGCUUCUAGCUCUGCCAUUGGAAUGCAACAAAAAGAAUAAAAUGAGGAGGAUGGAGAAAACUCGCUCUGAUGAUUUCAAUUUCACGUCCAAUCCUCUGCUUUCCCCCUCGGAAGUUCAUAAUAAAUGGCAUCAGAGAAUCUGGACCCAAGCCACGGCCCUCCGUGAUCCUCCAGAUAAUUGUAUAUAAUAGACGGGGGCCCGGGCAUGGGGCUGGGACUCCCUGCAGCAGCUGCAGCGCCAGCUGAGACAGGA